UCCCCGAGAACCUGGCAACGGAAGAAAACAGGAUGUUCCCAAUUAGACGAUGUACAGGCGCAUUGGACCCAGGCAGAAGAUUCCAGGUUCUGACCACCAUCUUGAGAACGCCUGAGUCUCGACCCUCAUGCUAAGAGCCCCAGACUACUCUGACAGCUUGGAGGAAGACCUGCCAGCUCUCAUGGUCUCCUGGACAAUGCUACCAUACUUGAGCAACGGGUCCAAUCAGGAACUUCAACCAGCACCUGGGACCUUCUUGCCCCAGAACGCCCCUCCAUCAUGCCAGAAACCUUCUUCUACUGGUGAAUUCCUCCUGAGGCCUCCAGAUGAGAAUGGAAAUGAGGCUGGCCAGACUUCAUUUCCCUCCAGGCUUCACUUCUGGCCUUCUGGCCUUGAACCACGGAGUAACAGUGGCAGUCUCAACCCAGAAGUUCCCUUGGCACCUGCAGCCUCUUCAUCUAAGAAAAACCGGUGGACUUCUCAGACUGGAACAUCUGUCUACCAGGCUGACCCCUGUCUGCCAUGGGUGAGUUCCUCUCAGGGACUCCAUUUUGGGGAGGGGACCAGGCCAAACACUCCUCCUUCCCCUCCUGCCUCUGUUUCUGACAUUCUGGACUUGAAUAUUAGGCCUCAGCAGAAGUCUCACCCUGAAACAUCCCUCCACCAUGCCAACUCC
rnacentral:lncRNA from 1 species